rnacentral:rRNA from 1 species
AACGAACGCUGGCGGCGUGCCUAAUACAUGCAAGUCGAGCGAGAAAGCCUCUUCGGAGGUGAGUAAAGCGGCGCACGGGUGAGUAACACGUGGGCAACCUACCCUUGAGUCUGGGAUAACCCGGGGAAACUCGGGCUAAUACCAGAUACGGCUGCGGGGUCUUCGGAUCCUGUGGAGAAAGAUGGCCUCUUCUUGAAAGCUAUCUCUCGAGGAUGGGCCCGCGUCCUAUUAGCUAGNGGUGAGGUAACGGCUCACCAAGGCAAAGAUGGGUAGCUGGUCUGAGAGGAUGGCCAGCCACACUGGAACUGAGACACGGUCCAGACUCCUACGGGAGGCAGCAGUAGGGAAUUUUGGGCAAUGGGCGAAAGCCUGACCCAGCAACGCCGCGUGAGGGAUGACGGCCUCGGUGUAA